AGUAGGGUGAGCUCGGGGACGCGCAGGCGGGUGGGUUUCAGCGCCUGGGCCCCUCUCCCCGCCGCGGGGCGCACGGAAAAACCGGGGAACCCGCGGGUUUUGUCCUGGCGAGCCACAUCCCGAUGGAGAGAGGAAGAAAGGGUUCAGCUUGGGUCCAAGGAGCAUGCAGAGGAAGGCAGGGAAGAAGGAGCAUGUGCAGCUUCGGUGCGAGGGGAGUCAGGGGUGGGAAUGCACGUUCCCUGCCUGAGGGGCCCCGGGGUGCCCUGAGCCUCUGAUCUUCGCUGUCAGGAGGCCUGUCCGAAGUUGGAGGUUGAGGCAUGCAGUUCUGCACUUCUGGCUGGGAAGGUGAACCAGGUUUUCCAAAAUGUCAUUUUUGCUUUCCAAGUCUGCAAGGCAGGAAAGGGUUGGGCAGUGAAUGGAAAGUAGUGCAGCCAGGUUCUGGUUAGCUCAGCGGCAGGACUGUCAUAACGUGACAAGAGGAACCAAGAACCUCAGUUCAGGGGAAACACAGCAAGGAAAUGUGAGCCCCAGGCUGCAGAAGGAAGAGUCAGUGAAUGGCUGCGGUGUGACAACAUGCACCACCAGUGGCUUCUGCUGGCCGCAUGCUUUUGGGUGAUUUUCAUGUUCAUGGUGGCUAGCAAGUUCAUCACGUUGACCUUUAAAGACCCAGAUG
rnacentral:lncRNA from 1 species